UUAGCAGACCGGAUGGUCGCUUCGCCGGUUUUAUGGCGGGGAGGAAAGUCCGAGCUCCGAGGAGCAGCGUAACGGUUAACGGCCGUCCGCCGAGAGGCGAGGAUUAAGAGCCACAGAGACGAGUCUGCUUCGCCCGUCAACCGGCUAUAGCCGGUAGGGCUUCGCAGGACCAAGGUCCCGUAUAAGGGGCCUGCCCCUACGAAGCCAUACCCGAAUUUAACUGGUUGAUUGGCGAAGUAGGGUGAAACGGGGUAAUCUCUACGCGGAGCAAGAUCAAAUAGGUCCCGAUUUAAGGGUUGCUCGCCCUUACUGUACAUGCAUCAGUAUCGGGACGGGUAAGGUCGCUAGAUCGCCGGAGCAAUCCGGCGGCCAGAUAGAUGACCAUCUCGUCUCGCGUCGAAAGAUGCGGGGCAAGACAAAACUCGGCUUACAGGUCUACUAAACUA
rnacentral:RNase_P_RNA from 1 species